rnacentral:rRNA from 1 species
CAAACCUGUCUCUUAUAACCAAUCAGUGAAACUGAUCUCCCAAUACAAAAGUUGGAAUGAACACAUAAGACGAGAAGACCCCGUGGAGCUUAAAACAAACCACUAACCAAACGACCAUAGUGCACUGUCUUAAGUUGGGGCGACUUCGGAACAAAACAAAACUUCCGAGCACAGAACCACCACUUCUAACCAAGGCCAACAAGCCUAAGUUUAACCUGACCCGGCCUCACGCCGAUCAACGAACCAAGUUACCCCGGGGAUAACAGCGCUAUCUUCUUCAAGAGUCCCUAUCAACAAGAAGGUUUACGACCUCGAUGUUGGAUCAGGACACCCAAAUGGUGCAGCCGCUAUUAAUGGUUCGUUUGUUCAACGAUUAACAGUCCUACGUGAUCU